GACGAACGCUGGCGGCGUGCUUAACACAUGUAAGUCGAACGGUAAGGCCCUUCGGGGUACACGAGUGGCGAACGGGUGAGUAACACGUGGGUGAUCUGCCCUGCACUUCGGGAUAAGCCUGGGAAACUGGGUCUAAUACCGGAUAGGACUCCUGGCUUCAUGGUUGGGGGUGGAAAGCUUUUGCGGUGGGGGAUGGGCCCGCGGCCUAUGAGCUUGUUGGUGGGGUAAUGGCCUACCAAGGCGACGACGGGUAGCCGGCCUGAGAGGGUGACCGGUCACGCUGGGACUGAGAUACGACCCAGACUCCUACGGGAGGCAGCAGUGGGGAAUAUUGCACCAUGGGCGCAAGCCGGAUGCAGCGACGCCGCGUGAGGGAUGACGGCCUUCGGGUUGUAAACCUCUUUCAGCUAUGACGAAGCGCAAGUGACGGUAGUAGCAGAAGAAGGACCGGCCAACUACGUGCCAGCCGCCGCGGUAA
rnacentral:rRNA from 1 species